AACGUAGGAGGCGAGCGUUAUCCGGAUUCACUGGGCGUAAAGCGCGUGUAGGUGGUUCGUUAAGUCGGUUGUGAAAGCCUCUGGCUCAACUGGGGGAGGUCAACCGAAACUGGCGGACUGGAGGGUCCGAGAGGAAGGUGGAAUUCCCGGUGUAGCGGUGGAAUGCGUAGAGAUCGGGAGGAACACCAGUGGCGAAGGCGGCCUUCUGGCGGACAUCUGACACUGAGACGCGAAAGCGUGGGGAG
rnacentral:rRNA from 1 species